AAAUGAAACAGGAAUAAGAAGCGGAAGCAAGUAAGCAGAGCAAGUGGCCAUGAAAACAGCUACAUUACCAUUUGGUGGCUUUGGGCAUUCUUAUUUACCUUCAUCUUCAUUCAAGAUUGUUAUUGUAAUGGCAAAGAGCAACAAAAAGUCCCGAUCCUCUUCUUCUUCUUCUAAGGUUCUUUCCACCUUUUUUUGUUUGAAUUCACAAUCUUCUCUUGUUUGAUGGCAAAGUUGGUCCUUUUUAGUUUUUUUUUUUUGUUUUUAAUGAAUUGAAUUUAGCGUUUCAUAGACUCUCCUUUAAAGGGUUUGUGUGAUGUAGUUCAAUAAGUUUUGGAUGCGCCGAAGUAGUUAAUUUUAGUUAUAUGUAGUGUUUGUUUAGCUCAUAUGGGUGUCUUAAUUUUUCAUUUUUCUUAUAUAUCAACAGUCUUCAGUUGUUGGCUGCUCUUGAUGACCGUUUUAGUUUAUUUAAUAUAUUCUUAUUGAAUAAUCAUAAUAAUAUGUGAUGCAAAAUUGUUUAUCAGGUGGUUUACAAUUGUAAGCAAAUAUAUAGAAGCUGAAACUGAUCAUUAUACUUUUAGUGAUUGCUGAUGCCUGUAGAGGUAGAUUUCUGACCCAGAAAGUGCCUUACACGAUCAUAUCAGCCUUGUUAAUGGAAACACAAAAGAGAUUAUGGAAGGUUGGUUUUAUAUUGACAUAUCUAAAACCAGCAUCAGUUUUUAUCUUUCAUCUUAUUUAAGUUUGCCUUUGUAGGAGUUUCAAAGGAGCAAGUCUAGCACGCCUAGGCCUUCAACUAGUUACCGCAGGAAAAAGGUUGAGAAGGAGGAAUUGCCAGAAGAUACAGAGCUUUACCGUGAUCCUACCACAACCCUUUACUAGUAAUAUACUCUUCACGUUUCUUUUAUUUGCCUUGUUUGUUGUUUCAUUGAUCCCCUCUUUACCUUCUAUUAAAGGAAUUUUCUCUUUUAUUUACAGUACAAACCAGGGUAUAGAUAAUGCUGUUCCUGUCUUACUUGUUGAUGGGUAUAAUGUUUGUGGCUAUUGGCCAAAGCUGAAGAAACAUUUUAUUAAAGGAAGGUUGGAUGUUGCUCGUCUGAAGCUAAUUGAGGAACUUGUGGAAUUUAGUAUGAUAAGAGGUUUGUAUUUUUUAUCUCUGUUUUAUUCUAUAAGAGGCUUCUCUGUAUGUUGCAAUCGAUUAAAUGUGAUGCUGCCUUGCUUGGCUAUAACAAAAUGAUGUAUAAAAUACCAUAAUUGAAAGAUAUAUUUCUGCUGCUUAACUUGUGAUUGGAUAUACUUUAAUAGUAGGUGUCUUCAAGAAGUGAUAUCUUGAAAAUUAAACACUGCUCCCAAUGCUUUUUUUUUUCUUUGGAAGGAACUGUUCCCUAUGCUUAGUUUCGUACUUUAUUAAGUUUUGCUAUCAAAGUUUCUUCUUUGGAGGUUAUCCCCAAAGAUCUAUGAUUGCUUUAAUGUUUCAUAGUAGUCUCAAGUUAAAAGUUAACUGUGUCAAAUUGUCAAAUAAAGUGUUAGUAGAUGAACAAAAUGAAGCAAAGACAGAUGGAUUUUCUAGAUUUGACCAUAUGGUCUUUCUCCUCUUAUUUUUCCAACCAGAAAUUUAACAGCACUGAAGCCAUAAGUUAAAGAAAUGUAAAGAUUUAAAAAAAAAAAAAAAGAAAGAAAGAAAAAGGUGCAACUAUUAGUUUUCAUACAUGCAUUUUGCAACCUUUAAAUUAUAGGAUAUGUUGUUGACUCAAAUUCGACUCAAAUUGUAAUCCUAAUACUUGGUUGUUAAUUGUUUUCUUUCUGUUGAUGUUGCAACCACAUUUUAUGAUUUCUGAAAUAUUUACAGAGGUGAAAGUGGUCGCUGUGUUUGACGCCUUGAUGUCUGGACUGCCAACACACAAGGAAGAAUUUAUUGGGUAUUAUUUGUGAACCUAAACCAUGCUUCCAUCAUUUUCUAACUCUUUUAUUCUUGAGAUUCAAUUCUGUCUGCAGAAUUGUUUGUUUUCUUUGAUAUCCUACUGCAAAAUGUCCUUUGUAUCCACUUAGUAUACAUAUGUUACAUAUACACAUUUCUUGUUGGUGGUAAUUUUUUACAUAUACACAUAUCUUGUUGGUAGUAUUUUUGGACACAUAAAAGGUUCCAUGAUCCUGCUGUGCAUAUUGGGUGGUCAGAUUGAAUGGGGCUCAGUCGUGAUUUGCUACUUUUACUUUUCCACAAUUUAUUUAAAUCUGACUUUAUCUUUGUACCCUUGACUGGAAAUUCAUGAAUUGGGCUUCUGAUGGUAAAAUGAACUUGUUAGAUAUCUAGUAUUAUUUUCCACCUAUGUCUAUCUAUUCAUGUAUAAUAAUUACUCAACAGAUUAAAUUUUUUAUGAUUUUGGUAUAAACUAGGAAAAAAAAAUUACCUUAUAAUUGUUAGAAGCUUCUCUUGGCAAGAAAAGCAGAGGAGGCCAUAUAUCUAUCUAUGUUAUUAACCCCAAGAAGUGGGUUAAUUAGUACUGGUUAACUAUUGAAUUUUUUUAUGUUCUACUUAACUGAAAUUUCCUUGCAAUUUAUACUUUGUUUGAAACCUGUGAUAUUAAGCGUUCAUAAUGGUGCAGCGUUGACGUAGUGUUCUCUGGAGAAACGUGUGCUGAUGCAUGGAUUGAAAAAGAGGUAAAAAAUAAUAAUAAAUAAAAUAAAAUCUUAGACUUCCUGCUUCACAACGUAAAUGAUAGAAUUUUUCAGUUUAAAACCUGCGGAGUAUAUAACCACUACGUCCAUUAAUCCUGUCGAAAAUUGAUUUUAUGGGAUAAAUGAUUUUGAUCUCCGCUUCUAUGCAUAAUGGUAAUGACUCCUUUUGUAUUUUGUCCUUUGCCAAAAAGCCUUUUCCCCAGAUCAAUUUUUUUUUUCUUUGAUUGGAUCUCACUUGACUCUCUGUUGCUCACAUUGCAUAUUGAGGUAGAAAUUUUGUAUAAAUUUAUUGGCAUUCAAUCAGAAUAUCUGCUGUACGGCCAAGGCGGAUGUACGGUACAGCAGAAUUGAGAUAUAAUUAUCUUUUCCCCCAGAUUAUUUACUUUAAAUUAUGAAUAUAUCCUUCUUAAUGAUAGGAUGAUAAAAAAUGAUGAAUAAUAGAUAAAAUUAAAAUCAAAUUUAUUUUCUUCCGGGGCAAAUUAUGCAAAAUGAAAAAGUCAAAUCGUAACGUGGUACUGUGGGAAUUAUUAUGCUAUGCCUUCUGUUUGUAUAUCAUUAGGCUGGUAUGAAGUGUGAUUUUACUGCUGUUUUCUGAUUAGCAGGCUGGAAUCAUGUUUGUGUGACAGAUAGUAGCUUUGAGAGAGGAUGGAUGUCCCAAAGUUUGGGUUGUGACUUCUGAUCAUUUGCAGCAGCAUGCAGCAUAUGGAGCGGUAUGCUCUUUACUCUUGAGUUUUUUACAGUAGUGCUUGAUAAUAAAUUUAUACAAAUUUCUGACAAGUCUUUUUAUCUUGAAUCCGAUAAGGUGUCAAGAUGUUAGUGGGGCUAUUAGGGCAUGCGCAGGGCGGUUCGAUAGCGACUGUUCAUGUCCUUCAAUUUUAUUUUAUGUAAUAAGUGCCAUUAUGGCAUUACCAAACUUCACCGAUUGAAUAUAUUAUGUAUACUUUUGAUGAAAGUGAAUGCAUUCUUCAAACUUGAAAUUGGAAUAUUUUUUGUAGUUAUUUAAGAUCACAUUUCUUCAAAACAUAUCUAGGCAUUUAUAGUUCAAGGUUAGAAGCAAAUUAAUGGGGGAAGAUUUAAAUUAAUGAAGAUAAUGGUGAUAAAUAUACGUAUAAUCUAAUUAGCAGUUUGCUUGAGAAAUUAUGGGUGAAGAAAAAUAUACCAAAUCUAGUGCACGCGCUGCGCUGUACACAAGUUCAAUUUAGGCACAAAGAAAAAAAAAUUACUUUAUAUGCAUAAUUUAUUAAGAGUUGAAUUCAAAUAAUCGAAGUUGUAAGAAAAACUCUACUUGAUGUUAUGAAUUUUGUAUUUUAUUCAUUAAUAUUUUUUUGUCAAUUUAUUUUUCAUAGGGCCUUAAAGGUGUGUGUGUAGUGAAAUCAUUAAUUUAGUACACUGGCCUAUUUCAAGAUCGGAUGAUUUUAUUAUUUAAUCAAGAUUUUACAGUGUAAAAGCACUUUUAUUGUGUUUUGAACAUUUAUAUAAUAUAUUUGGUAUUAUACAUUAAGAUUUAUCUUUAUUAUUAUUAUUAUUGAACUCUUACCUAUUUGCUUAAUUUAUUUUUUAUUUUUUAGUUUAUAGAGAGUUUCUCUAACAAUUAUAUGUAUAAGCAGUAGCUAAGCUAUUUUAAUUAGUAGCGUCAGCACGACAAGCUAAAAGUCAUUUAUCAAUCAAUAUCCCUAAAAAAUCCCAACUGCCGGCAAAUUAAUACAUAUCAUCACCCUAUCGUAUUGACAACAAAAUGCGAGCAACGUCCAGGUUAUUACAACAAUAAUUUUAGCACACAUUCAAUCAAGUGAAUGAUAGACAUAUUUUGUGUAGAUUCAAUUAAAUUCAUUUAACUUGACCCCAACAAGAAAAAGAGAAAAUUUGUUUGCUUCUAAUGAAAAUUAAUUAAAUGAUAGCAAUAGUUUGUAUGAUUGUAUGUCAGUGUAGUUUUUUCUUGAAGAAAAAGAAAAAAAAAUCUAAUAAAAAUGACAAUUGGGUGGGCGGCUCAAUAAAAACAUGGUCGGUGAUAUUCGGUAAGCCCUGCGGGUAGCCACCAUCCAGCCAGUUUGCCUUUUCCCGUAUAUUUAUUACUUGAUUUUACACAGAGUUUUCACUAUCCGUUUAGCUCAAAUUCUUAUGUGAGAGUGAGACCACAAAAGUUUUGCAAGGCAAAAAGAGACAAGAGGAAGGGUUACAUGAGAACCGCCAAAUUUGCCAAGGCCACGGGAUAUUUGUGGUCAAUGUUCCACAAAAUACAACUUAACUCAACUCAACUAACCCACAAAAUAGCCGUGGGGCCAUUCAUUUGCUGAUUUUCCAGCUGCUUAAUUUGGCUCCAUAUGAUCUCGUGCCAUCUUAUAUUCUUUUUAUGCGGGCAUUUGCCAUCUUAAAUUCUUUAGAUUACCCAUAAUUUCUACAUACCUGGGACUAAAAUUACUUGAAAUUCAUACAUGUCUUAGAUAUUUUUAGCAGAAGACGAGGUGAUGAGUGGCAGCAGUUUCCCUCUGCCUCAUGCGAUUGUAUGGCUUAGUGCGAUUUAUACCUACCUUUGCCUUCAUUUUCAUGACCCUUUUGUUUUUUAACUAACUGAAAUUACACUAAUUCAUGAUCUGACUUUGCUCCGAUGAAAUUGUAUUUGGAUAAUUGGUGGUUAAUAUAAGCGUAAAUAAAUCUUAUUCAUAUAUUAAUAUUAAUAGAUUGCCAUGUGACAUAAGAUUUUACAAAUUCAGGAGAGCUCAAAUUGUGAAUAAAAUUCCAAUUGGAUAUGUGGAGGCAUUUGAAUAUAUGACUUUGAUUCUUUAAAAAAAAAAAAAUUAUUUAUAUAUGUAUACAAUCAGUAUGUCAUUUGAAAACUUUGGUUAAUCUACUAUGUUAAGCAAUUUUUUUUUAUAAAAAAAAGACUAAGCUACUGAUUUAAUAUAAUUCUCUACCUUUUUUAUUUGAUUUAAUAUAAUACUCUACCUUUUUUUAUUUAAUAUAUAUGAGUCUCUAUCUCUUUUAUUUUAUUAUGAUAAGCAUGAGUAAAAAUUUAUUCAUUUGGUAAUGUUCAGGUCAAAGAGGAUAAUCAUCAGAAUCCAACUACUAAUUUAGAUGGAUCCUCUCUAGUGAUUCCAGCAAGUUCGAGCACAUAGUACGGAGCUAUGUAAAUCGAGAUUAAGACCUGUUAAUGCAUAAUAAGUAUAACCUAAGUAGGUAAUUAUUCAAAUUUAUCAUAAUUUAUUUUGAUUUUUGAAUUGUACAGAAAAUUAAAUAUGAAGAAGACUUUAUAUACAGCAAUAUGAUUAAUUGUGUUUUAAUUAAUUAUCAAAAUUGUAUAGGAAAAUGAUCAUAACCCCCUCAUGCUUGGCGUAAUUAACUAUUCUUCCUUCAUAAGUUGAACAAUAAAAUCCCUGACGUUAUAGGUUUAAAAAUCCCUAGACACUUUUGGAGGACUAUCUAUUCUUUUUGUAACAGACAAUUGAUAAAUGGAUUUUAAACACUAAUUAAUUUCGAGGGAUAUUAUCAAAUAUAAUACCUAGCAAAAUUAUUUUUUUGACAUAUCAAUUUAUCAACGAGAUUUUUUUAUAAUUAUGUUUUACCAUCUAAUGUUUUGGUUGUUACUAUUUAUCGCCAAAAUCUUAACACUAUUAAAAAAUUGUUGAGGUCACAAGAGUAUUUGAUAAAUUUCAAACUGAAGCUAUUUUUCUAUUUUCUUAAUUCUUUUAGAGAUUUUUAUCUUUUUCCUCUAGACAUCUGAUUUAGAGCCUUUUAUUUUUGUUUUAUUUAUUUCAAUUAUUAGAAUUUUAUUAUGAUUUUAUAUUAUUACAUUUAAUUGGUUUAAUUAUAAUUGAACUUAAUAUGGUGAAAUUUAUUUGUACAAGUAAAAAUAAUAUCACAAAUUAGUUUCUCUAUGGAUGCAUGAAAAUUUUCAGUUACUGUCACUAUCAGAAAACCUAAAUUCAAUCGCAGGAAUAUCUUAAAAUAAUAAAAUUUUAAUAACUAAAUUAAAGAAAAAGAAUAAAAACGACUCGUACAUCUAAUUUCUUAAAAUCAAAAAAAAAAACUACAAAAAUAAGAAAAUGACUUCAUCUUGAAAUUUCUUAAAUACCUUUGUGAUCUCAAUAAUUUUUUAGUAGUGUUAAGAUUUUGAUAGUAAAAUGAUAGCAGACAGAAUAUUAGGUGGUAAAAUGUAGUUAUUAGAAAAUCUUGAUGGUGAAUUGAUAUGUCGGGGAACUUCUAGUGAUGAUUUGAUAAAAUCCCUUAUUUCACUGUAAAAUUAAAAACAAGAAAAAGGAAAGUCAAUAGUUAAUAAAACAUUCAUUGACAGUAGAGGGUUUUGUUGUUUCCAAAACUAAGGGUGUACUGUAAAUAGUUAAUUUCUCCUGGCAGUAGGGACAUUUUACUUACCUUAAAAAUUUUGUAUUCCUUCAUGGCACAUUUAGUCCAUUUUUGUAAUGGAAUGAAUUUUUCAUUAAGUUGUAAAUCUUUAGCUGUGAAGUAAAGGUGAGUAUUUACUAGGCGAUUGAUAUAACAGUUGUGUUUUCAUAAUCAAACGGCGGCACAAUAGUUGUUGCUAUCUCACAACACAAAUGUAAAUUAAGAAAGCGCUAAACAACUAGAGAACUUGGAAAGAGGCAAUAUAAUUAUGUGUGUGUAUACAUAUAUACACAUACAUAUCAUUAAUGUUGUUUAACCACACGACUUAACAUCGUACCUCGCAUCUAAGCAUGAUUAUAUGUUUUAAAAAAACUAUUAAAACAUAUGAUUUUAUAACAUUAUAUCAUUAUACUAUUAAACCAUGUGGCUUAAUAGUUUUCAUGGACGUUACAAUAUUAAAUCAUAUAAAUAGUUUUCAUGGACGUUACAAUAUUAAAUCAUAUAACUUAAUAGCUUUUCCACACUAACAAAUUUAAUAUUUUGGAUUGGGACACACACACACAUGUAUAGGUGUUGUGCCCUUAUUUAUUUAUUUAUUUAUUUUGAAAUGUAAACAUGUUGUUUAAUAGUUUUCUUUACUGACUCUAUUAAACUGUAUGAUUUAAUAGUAUGUUCACAUGAAAAAAAAAUGAAGGCACCCACAUUAGAGAAGAACUAUAAUAUUAAACAAAAUAAUCUAACAAAUAUUGUUAAUUAUUAUUUUUUUUUUUAUGAACAACUACACAAACGGAGUGAUUCUAAGAAAGCUUGUGAAGCGAGUUGAGGCUGCAGACUAUGAGACAUAUUAAUUUUCUACAAUUUACCUUUUGUUCAUUAUAUUAAAGUCCCAUUAUUUUUAUUACUAUUCUUUAUGUUUGCUAUUCCGCACGAAUACGUAUCCCUAACGUAUUAGUUGUCGCUUCUUAGAAAUUUUAUAAAUAUCAAUAAUUAAUAUCAUUAUUCAAUCAUUUAGAAAAACCUGAGCAUUAAUUAGUUUAUCUCUGAAUUAAAACUAGACACAUGUAAAUAUGUGAACUCUAAUUAAAUCUUGAUACUUGUAAUAUAUAUGAGCCAUAUCUAAAAAGGAAAUUUCAAUUUCUACUUCCAUUUUUUAAAUGCCAGGUCGAUGUACAUUAUCUAUGCAUGUACUGAAUAGGAAGCAACACAUGAAGAUGCAUUCUUUUUGCUAGACACUGAUUUUUAAUUUUCAUUUUUUUUCCAAUUAUUCAAAGGUGCCUGGUCCACGCAUGUCCGGUUCGUCAAGCAGACAAGCACAAUCAUGUGAAACUUGCUGAAUUAUUGAUGGUGGUGGGGGCUGCCUCUGGCUUAUGAGUUUGAAGAUUUGUAAAGGGAAGGUUCGUAGUAGAUACAUCCCAUUCUCUACUUAUUGAUGGUGGUGGGGGCUGCGAUUUUAUAUUCAUUGAAUCUGGUAACAAGUGGUGGUGACUGGUGAUUGGUGAAUUGCCAAAAUUAUUAAAAGAAAAAUUGCACACUAUCCUUUUUUUCAUUUUUUAUUCUUUAUUUUACUAUUUCUAAUCGGUCCCACAAAAAAAUAUUUUAUUAUUUUUUACCGAUCCCACAAAAGAAAAAUUCGAAAAGUGAACGCGUUUUCUGUCGUCCCUUCGUCGGCUUUCGUUCGUUUUCAGUUUUCACCGUCCUUUUUUUCAUUUUUUAUUCUUUAUUUUACUAUUUAUAGUCGGUCCCACAAAAGAAUAUUUCAUUUUUUCCAAUUAUUAAUCGACUUGUUAUUUCAUUAUAUAUAUAUAUAUAUAUAUAUAUAAUAAAUGAGUCGAAUUUAUGUUCAGCUAAAAUUUUAUUGUAUUUGACACGACUGUAAUGUAACAUGAUGGUAGGAAUUACCAUUGUGAUUUUAAAAAAUUAUAGUGUUUAUAAUUUGAGUCUUCGUCUUAGCAUUGCAAUUAAUUCAAUAAAUGAAGUAAUUAUAUGGCAAAAGGAGAGAGAGAGAGAAACGUUUUAGUUUAACUUUGUUUAUAAGUUUGAAGAUUUGUAAAGCGAAGGUUCGUAGUAGAUGCAUUCCAUUUUACUCUUUAUUCAGUAUUUACCCAGACACUGGAUUAAUGUUGUUGAUUUGAUAUACGAUUUUAUAUUUAUUGAUUCUAAUAACUAGAGGUGGUCACUGAUGAUUGGUGACUCACUAAAUUAUUAAUGGGUGGUGGGCUCUCCUUUUAUUUUCACUUUCCUGGAAUAAGCAACAAGUGGAAGACUUGUUACAUGCACUUUGCUCGACUCUCCAUGCUUACUGUUCAAUUUUCUGAUUCUGCUUUCCAUAACCCAUAAUUCUGCUCCUUUCUUCCUUUGCCCAAAAAAAAAGAAAAAAAUGUCAAUCAUCGGAGAGGCAAUCCUUACGGCGUCCGUUGAUUUGCUGGUCAAUAAGUUAGCUUCAGAGGGGAUUCUGUUUUUUGCACGCCAAGAGCAAAUCGAGGCCGAUCUGAUGAGGUGGGCGAAUAUGUUGGAGAUGAUCAAGGCGGUGCUUGAUGAUGCUGAGGAGAAGAAGACGACUAAUCAGUUUGUGAACAAGUGGCUUGGCAAGCUUCAGAACUUGGCUUAUGAUGUUGAAGACUUGUUGGAUGAGUUUCAAACUGAGGCUUUCCGGAGGAGGUUGCUGCUUGGGAAUGGAGAACCAGCUGCUGCUCAUGAUCAACCCAGUAGCAGUCGUACAAGACCAAGCAAGUUUAGGAAGCUCAUUCCUGCUUGCUGCACCACUUUUACUCCACAAUCGAUUCAGUUCGAUUAUGGCUUGAAGUCCAAAAUCAAAGAGAUCAGCAGCAGAUUUCAAGAAAUUGAAGAAGGAAUACGCUCGCUGAAUUUGAUAAAAAGUUUAGCUGGGGGGUCCAAAAAAGCCAGGCAAAGGCAAGAGACAACCUCUUUGGUGGAGGAAGCCAAAGUAUAUGGCAGGGAAACAGAAAAGAAGGAAAUUGUUGAAUUGUUGUUGAAGGAUGAUUCAAGAAAGGAUGGUGGAUUCUCUGUUAUUCCUAUUCUAGGUAUGGGCGGGCUGGGUAAAACCACUCUUGCUCAGGUUGUCUACAAUGAUAAGCAGGUGGAGGAUCAUUUUAAUCUCAAGGCAUGGGCUUGCGUCUCCGAUGAUUUUGAUGUUAGCAGGCUUACAAAAUCAAUCCUACAUUCAAUUGCUAGUGACCAGAAUGUGGAUAAUCACGACUUGAAUAAGCUUCAAGAGGAGCUAAAGAAACAACUAUUUGGAAAGAAAUUUUUGCUUGUUUUAGAUGACGUUUGGAAUGAGAAUUACAAUGACUGGGUUCAACUCAGCCUUCCAUUUCAAGCUGGCGCGAAGGGAAGUAAGAUUGUUGUCACUACUCGCAAUCAACAGGUUGCAAAAAUCAUGAGGCCGGAUCAAGCUUAUGAAUUGAAAAACUUGUCAACUGAGGAUUGUCUGUCUGUGUUUGCUCAGCACUCUUUGGGGACAAGAGAUUUCAGUUCACACAAGUCAUUGGAGGACAUUGGCAAGAAGAUAGUGAUCAAAUGCAAUGGCUUGCCCUUGGCAGCAAAAACACUGGGAGGACUUUUAUGUGGAGAACAUGACAGAGGUGUGUGGGAAGAUGUGCUCAGUAGCAAGAUAUGGGAAUUACCAGAAGAUAGAUGUCCCAUUAUACCAGCUCUUGCAGUGAGCUAUUAUUAUCUUCCUCCAAUUUUGAAACAAUGCUUUGCAUACUGCUCAUUGUUUCCUAAGGAUUAUGAAUUUGAAGAUGAGGGGAUAAUUUUAUUAUGGAGUGCUGUGGGUUUCUUGGAUCACGGAGAGGGGGGGAAUCCUAGUGAAGCUCUAGGUCGAAAGUUCUUUCAAGAGCUACGUUCAAGAUCUUUCUUCCAGCAAUCAAGCAACAAUACAUCACGAUUUGUGAUGCACGACCUUAUCAGCGACCUUGCUCAAUGGGCUGCGGGGGAGAUAUACUUCACAAUGGAGUAUACCUCGGAGGUUAACAAGCAACAGAGUUUUUCCAAAAAUCUUCGUCAUCUAUCGUACAUUCGUGGAGAAUGUGAUGGCGUUAAACGGUUUGAGGGCUUGUACGAUAUCCAACAUUUGCGAACAUUUUUACCAGUAAAGCUGUCAAAUAGUUGGGAUGGAGACUUGGCUCGUAGCAUUCUUCCUAAGUUGUUCAAACUCCAACGCUUGAGGGUCUUCUCCUUGUUUGGAUACCACAUCUCUGAGCUACCAAAUUCAGUAGGUGAUUUGAGGUAUUUAAAGUACCUUAACCUAUCUGGAACUGAAAUUAGAACUCUGCCUGAAUCAGUGAACAAGCUUUACAAUUUGCACACACUUUUGUUGGAGGACUGUCGGAAACUGAAGAAGUUGUGUGCAGAAAUGGGAAGCCUCAUCAAAUUGCAUCAUCUUAAAAAUUCAAAUACAGAUUCCUUGGAGGAAAUGCCACUAGGAAUUGGUAAUUUGACUUGUCUUCAAACGUUGUGUAAUUUUGUUGUGGCAAAAGACAGUGGUUCCGGGUUAAGAGAGCUGAAGUCGUUGACUCAUCUUAAGAGGACACUUAAAAUUUCAAAAUUGGAGAAUGUAAAAUGCGUUGGUGAUGCCAUGGAGGCUCAAAUGGAUGGAAAGAAGAAGAAAAGACAGUGGUUCGGGGUUAUCAGAGCUAAAGUUGUUGAUGCAUCUUCGUGGGGCACUUGAAAUUUCAAAAUUGGAGAACGUAAAAGACGUUGGUAAUGCGAAGGAGGCUCGGUUGGAUGGAAAGAAGAAUCUUAAAGAAUUAUUGCUUCGAUGGACACGCAGUACCGAUGGUUCAUCUUCAAGGGAGGCAGAAACUGAAAUGGGCGUGCUUGACAUGCUAAAACCUCAUACAAAUCUGGAGCAAUUUUGUAUCAAAGGCUAUGAAGGUAUGAAAUUUCCAACUUGGUUGGGAGAUUCCUCAUUCUCAAAUUUGGUGACCCUAAAAUUUAAAAAUUGCGGCAUGUGCACUGCCCUGCCGUCUAUGGGGCAACUGCCCUCUCUAAAGCAUCUUACAGUGCGUGGAAUGAGCAGAGUAAAGAGAUUGGGUUCAGAGUUCUAUGGGAAUGAUCCUCCAAUUCCUUUUCUAUGCUUGGAGACUCUUCGUUUUGAAGACAUGCAAGAAUGGGAAGACUGGAUUCCCCAUGGAUCCAGUCAAGGAGUUGUUGAAGGGUUUCCUAAAUUGAGAGAGCUUCACAUUUUAAGAUGUUCUAAAUUGAAAGGAACAUUUCCAGAGCACCUUCCUGCAUUGGAGAUGCUUGUUAUUGAAGGAUGUGAAGAAUUGUCAGUUUCAGUUUCGAGUCUUCCAGCUCUUUGCAAAUUACAGAUUGGUGGAUGUAAAAAGGUUGUGUGGGAAAGUGCAACUGGUCAUCUCGGAUCUCAGAAUUCAGUGGUUUGUAGAGAUGCAUCAAAUCAAGUGUUUCUCGCAGGGCCAUUAAAGCCGCAACUGCCAAAAUUGGAAGAAUUGGAGAUAAAUGAUAUGAAAGAGCAUAAAUAUAUCUGGAAGAGUCAUAAUGGAUUACUACAAGACAUUUGCUCUCUCAAAAGAUUGACGAUUGACAGCUGUCCCAAACUUCAAUCCUUGGUGGCGGAGGAAGAGAAAGACCAACAACAGCAGCUCUGCGAGUUGUCAUGCAGACUCGAAUAUCUAAGAUUGAGAUAUUGCGAAGGCCUUGUGAAGCUGCCACAAUCAUCGCUCAGCCUGAGUUCCUUGAGAGAGAUAGAAAUCUGCAAGUGCAGUUCCCUUGUUUCCUUUCCUGAGGUUGCUCUGCCUUCCAAGUUGAAGAAAAUUAGGAUUAGCAGUUGUGAUGCACUGAAAUCGUUACCAGAGGCAUGGAUGUGCGACACCAAUUCAUCUCUCGAGAUCUUGGAGAUUUGGAUUUGCUGUUCGUUGACAUAUAUUGCUGGAGUCCAGCUACCACGGAGCCUUAAGAGGUUGCAUAUCUUGUUGUGCAAUAAUAUAAGGACUUUGACAGUGGAAGAGGGCAUCCAGUGUAGCAAUAGCAGCAGCAGCAGCAGAAGGUACACCUCAUCCCUUCUCGAGCACUUACACAUUGGCAAUUGUCGAUCUCUGACAUGUAUAUUUUCAAAAAACGAGUUACCUGCCACGCUUGAGUCCCUUGAAGUUGGCAAUCUACCUCCGUCUCUUAAGGUACUUGAUAUUUAUGGAUGUCCAAAGCUGGAGUCAAUAGCAGAAAGGUUGGACAACAACACAUCUCUUGAAACAAUCAGUAUUUUGUGUUGUGAAAAUCUGAAAAUUUUACCGAGUGGUUUACAUAAUCUCCGCCAGCUUCAAGAGAUUAGCAUAGAGAAAUGUGGAAAUCUGGAGUCCUUUCCCGAAGGGGGAUUGCCUUGUGCGAAACUGAGUAAGCUCAGGAUCUAUGGGUGUGAGAGACUAGAGGCCUUACCCAAGGGAUUGCACAAUCUGAAGUCUCUUCAAGAAUUAAGAAUAGGAAGAGGAGUUGAGCUUCCAAGCCUUGAAGAAGAUGGCCUUCCCACCAACCUUCAUUCACUGGAGAUUGAUGGUAAUAUGGAGAUUUGGAAGUCAACGAUUGAGUGGGGUCGGGGAUUCCACAGAUUCUCCUCUCUGCGAUGUCUUGCAAUCAGCGGAUGCGAUGACGACAUGGUGUCAUUUCCACUAGAGGACAAAAGAUUAGGGACCGCGCUUCCUCUUCCUGCCUGUCUAGCAUCCCUGAUGAUUGGUAAUUUUCCAAAUCUGGAACGCCUAUCUUCUUCAAUUGUUGAUCUUCAAAACCUCACUGAAUUGUAUCUCGGGGAUUGUCCCAAGCUCAAAUACUUUCCGGAGAAGGGCCUGCCUUCCUCACUUUUGCGAUUAUACAUCGACGAAUGUCCGUUGAUAGCAGAGAAGUGCAGAAAGGAUGGAGGACAAUAUUGGGACUUGUUAACCCAUAUACCCAGUGUUCUAAUAGAUUUAGCAAAGGAGGAGGACUCUAUUAAUUAAUUAAUGAAUUAAUUUCUCGUUAUCAGCGGUUGAAACUUCAGUUUCUUAUAUUUGUCUUUUCCGCGGUACGGUUACAUAUAUUUGUGUAUGUAAUUUUAAAAUUUAAAUCUCAGUUGAAAACUGUUUUAAAUUAAUAAAAAGAAAAAUGUUAAGUAGAGUAAGGGGCUCGCAUUAUUUCAGCAGCGGGGGACAUAUGUGUAUUAAUUAAUUAAUUAAUUAAUGGAUUAAUUUCUUAUGCGUAUCUCAUUCUAAGCUGUUGAAAUAAACUUCAGUUUCUUUUAUUUGGCUGUACAGUUACGCAUGUGUAAUAUUUCUCUUCAUCAGAUUUCGACAAAAAUUGUUAAUGUUUUUAUUAGUAAUUAAUUAGUAUGUUAGUGUUCUUCUUUUGUUCCAGAACAAUCUGCCUCUUCAGAACAAUCUGCCUCUUCAGCAAUAAUGUUACAAUGUUCUUUUGAUGUUGUUGUUUAGCAAAGUGGUUUUUUAGGUGCUAAUUAAACACACGAGGGCUAGGCCGUGUUACAAAAUUAUUUGUAAUCUUUAAUUUAAUUGUUUAUGUGCCAUCGCUAUUAAUAUUAAUCGAUAAAUAUAAUUUUAUCAGUUACUGAAUAUUUGAAUUCAUCAAAACUGUCAUAAUUGAAACGGAUCUUCAUAUUAACACAUCAAUAUGACAGAAAAAGGGAAUAUUUUUAAUGAAUUAAUUUCCUAUUGAGUAUGAAUGCGUAAUGUAUAAUGGCUAUCUCUUUCUUAGUUGUUGAAAUUAACUUCAUUUUUCUGUAUGGUUAUGUAUAACGAGAUUGAAAUUGUUUCGACCGGGUACAAUAAAAUAGUAAUGUGAGGUUCAUUCCGAUCAUGAUUUAUGAAAAUCACUUAAUAAUCAAAUCCGAUAACAACAAAAACAUAAAAAUCAAACGAGAAACAAUAUCCCCCACAACACCGACAAUAAAAUAUCAAAAACAAAACAAGCCAAGUGUUUGCCAAGAGAAAAUAUGAAGACCAACAAAGCAAAAUACGGUCACCACCAGAAUUACUUUUAAGCUAUAGUGGCCUAAAUUAAUUUUAAGGUAUGGUGGCCUUAAUAUCUUCACCAGAAGAAUUACCAACCGCGUCAUCAGCAGUAAUGUUAUAAUGUUCUUUUAAUGGUUUUGUAAAGUGGUUUUUGAUUGCCGAUUAAGCACUUGAAGGCUGGACUGCUGCAGUACAGAAUUAUUUAUACUCUCUAAUCUGAUACACUUUAAGCAAGUUCUUGAAUUAAUUGCUUCUGUGCCAUCGCUUUUAAUAUUUGCAAAUAUUGAUCAUCAUUAGCUCCUUUUGGGAUGUUAGAGAGCUUUGUUCAGAGAGAAAGACCAUAAAAACAGAGUACAUAACUUGUCAUAUAAAAAUAGUAUGUUCGCAUAUUACUCACAGUUAGCCAAGGCGCCGUCUGGUCAUAAUUGACAUAAGAGCUCAACCGUAAGUAACACAAUACACAAUCUGAAGAAUAGUUGCUUGAUCAGAAAGUCCAACUUUGUAGCUAUAAUUUUUUUUUUUUUUUUAGAAGUGUAGCUAUAAUAUGCUAUUUUCAUAAGACUUCGUUAAAGAUUGUUUUGUAAUUAAUUUCACACAACACAACCCUACAGAAAAUUGACCAAAACAAAAUGAAAUAUCAAGGCUGUAAUUAGCACUUGAUCAAAGGAAAAGAAGAAACAAAUGAAUUUGUAAGGAGUACUCCGAUACGUAUAUGAAUUUGUUUAGAGUUCUUUAUCAUAGAAAAAAUCAAUUGUAUGUCCUUCGUAUUUUCUCUAUAAAAACUUGCAAUAUAGACCAUUAGUUUGUUUUGAUAUUUACUGGAGUGAAUUGUUGUUUUUGUGAUUAUAAAAAAAUAUACUUCAGAGUUAUUUAUUUUUAUGUACAUAUAAAAUUGAAUUUAUUUUAAUGUGCACAAGAGUCAUUGGAAGGAUUUGCUCAUUAAUGGUUGGUUUGUGAAGUAAACUGACCAGAAAAUUUAUCAAAAGCACUUUAUUACAUCAUCUUCAUAUGUGCACUGAUGUAUAUUUACAUCAUCUUCAUACGUGCACUGAUGUAUAUUCUCCCUGAAUCCCAUAACAACAAAAACAGAAAAUCAAAAGAGAAACAGUAUCCCAGAAUGCCAAAAAAAUAUCAGAAACAAAAAUCAAACAAAGCAAUUCAAAAGCAUUUGCUUGUGAUGCCAUGACCAAGAAUGCUACUGCCAUAACAAGAAAUGGCAUUGCAAGACUGUAGAAUGCCACAUGUGCGAAUGAGAAGAACAUUACAAAUCAACAAUUCAAAAAAAAAAAAAGAAGAAUUUAAACCAGCUAAAAGGAUAGGCAUUAGGUAGAAUUUCACACGAAGAAUAAGACUAAGAAAAUUUAAGGUGAUUUGCAUUUAUAAUCAGCAAACGACUCAACAUAUCAGAAUGAGAAGAACAUUCAGGAAUCACCAGGCAGGACAAGAUCAAGGAGGCAACAAGGAAGCAUUUGUUUUGGCCAAAUAAAGUUUGCAGAUCUUUUAAUGCUAAUAUUAGUAAUAAAACCAUCACUGGGAUAUUGGUUUGGCAAUGUUUAAUUAAUGGCCCUGAGCUUUAUGAUCUUUAUUACAUAUGUAUUUAAUGCAACUACACAUACAUGUAAUAUGUACCUUGUAGGCUUAUUUAUUUAUAUUAAUAAUUAAUAUGAUCUUUUCAAACUUAGCCGAAGUUGUUGAACAUAAAAAUACUCAAAUAUUCAGUGUUCUUGAUUAAAUUAGCAUCAAUGGACAUAAUUAAAUAAAGAAAAUCGGAUUAUUACGAUGAUUGAUUCAGUUAGCUACAUUAGUGUUAUUUUUUAAAAAUGAUAUAUGUCGUAAAAUUUGUGUUAUAAAAACGUAUGGUAAUUAUCCACCGACCACCUAUUUUUUUAAAAUAUACAAAUUUUAUUUCAUUUUUUUUGCAACACUCCAUCAAAAGUUAACACUCUCUUCACUCGUCCACUUCCGUCAUAACGCAUUUAAUAGAUUUAACAUAAAAUUAAUUAAGUGAUUUUUUACCCAUAAUUGUAAAAUUGUUAUUUUUCUUAAAUAAAUGCCAAAAGUAUAUGAAUAUCAUUUAAAAUUUCCCAAGCUCAAUACGGCAUCGUAAAAACCCUACAAAACCUUCGUUCCCAUCCUUGAGCCCUGAGCCUUGAGCCUUGAGCCUUGAACAAUAUGAGCAAAAUGAUUUUUUUUAGAAAAAACCAGGGAUAUCAAUUAAUAAAAAAUUUAAAUCUAACCAAAAAAUCCUAAUAUCUAAAAGCAAAAUCUUAAUAGAUGUCCAAAAGCAAAAGAAUAGAAAAGAAAAGAAGAAGCAUAAUCCCAUCCAGAAAAACGAGAUGAACAGAUGACAACUAAUUUCCUUUUCAAUUUAGAAUUUUAUUUCAUUUUCAAUUUAGAAUUUUAUUUUAUUUUCAAUUUUCAAUUUUGUUUUUCUUUAGUGAUUUGAGAUAAUUACUACUAUUAUAAAUAGUUCUCUCUUGUAACCUUUGAAGACAUUUAACUUCAAUAAUAUUUUUAAUUUUCAAAUCUCUUUGUGAGUAUUUAAACAAUUAAUUCUCAAUAUUCUACGAAAUCAUCGAGUCUUAAUUUCUAAAUUCGCGAUAUUCUUUUAAAUCAAUAUAAAUUUAAUUAUUCGUUUAUUUCGAUAUUUUCUAGAAUCAGAAUAUUUUCAACAUUAAAAUUCCGCUCCAUCAACUACUCCUCUUCCUCCCAAACACAAUUAGCUCAGCCCAACAUGCGAAAGUGAAAUCGCCUGCAGUUCCAGUCAAUUGAACGUCUUGUCGUUUAUGCUAAAUGUCGUUUUUAAGUUUCAUUUGCCAACGACAAAACGAUUUAUCUUUUACCUGAAAGUCCAAGCAUAGCGAGCGAGUUGUUUUACAAAUGGGACAGUUGUCCCAACGAUAUUCACAAACAAUCCCAUUUCAUGGCCCGAAGAACAAACCCAACGACAUAUGAAAGCAUCAACCUUUACUGGAGUAGGUCGAUUGAAAUGAUAGAAGCCGAAGAAGUAAAUGAAACAGGAAUAAGAAGCAGAAGCAAGUAAGCAGAGCAAGUGACCAUGAAAACAGCUACAUUACCAUUUGGUGGCUUUGGGCAUUCUUAUUUACCUUCAUCUUCAUUCAAGAUUGUUAUUGUAAUGGCAAAGAGCAACAAAAAGUCCCGAUCCUCUUCUUCUUCUUCUAAGGUUCUUUCCACCUUUUCUUGUUUGAAUUCACAAUCUUCUCUUGUUUGAUGGCAAAGUUGGUCCUUUUUAGUUUUUUUUUGUUUUUAAUGAAUUGAAUUUAGCGUAUCAUAGACUCUCCUUUAAAGGGUUUGUGUGAUGUAGUUCAAUAAGUUUUGGAUGCGCCGAAGUAGUUAAUUUUAGUUAUAUGUAUUGUUUUUUUAGCUCAUAUGGGUGUCUUAAUUUUUCAUUUUUCUUAUAUAUCAACAAUCUUCAGUUGUUGGCUGCUCUUGAUGACUGUUUUAGUUUAUUUAAUAUAUUCUUAUUGAAUGAUCAUAAUAAUAUGUGAUGCAAAAUUGUUUAUCAGGUGGUUUACAAUUGUAAGCAAAUAUAUAGAAGCUGAAACUGAUCAUUAUACUUUUAGUGAUUGCUGAUGCCUGAAGAGGUAGAUUUCUGACCCAGAAAGUGCCUUACACGAUCAUAUCAGCCUUGUUAGUGGGAACACAAAAUGAGUAAGAGUAACUAUAUGUUCUUGAGGAGCCAAAAAUAGGGUGUUAUUUUGUGCUUCUCUUAAUCAAGUUCUGCAGCAAUAGAAAAUGGGGAUCAUAAUAUUUGGUUUAAAGGCGUUUUUUUAAUUUUGUGCCAAAUUAUUGUAUGUUCCAGAGUAGGAGCAGUGUUUGAUCCAUAAUUUUUUUUCUUUAUAUUUGUAAAUACUUUUAUCUCUUUUUUUUUUUUUGGUU
rnacentral:lncRNA from 1 species